rnacentral:tRNA from 2 species
GCCCACGUAGCUCAGGAGGUCAGAGCACAUCCUUGGUAAGGAUGGGGUCAUCGGUUCGACUCCGAUCGUGGGCUCCA